rnacentral:SRP_RNA from 13 species
GCCAGAUGCAGUGGCACGUACCUAUAGUCCCAGCUACUCGGGAGGCUGAGGUAGGAAGAUCGCUUGAGCCCAGGAGCUCUGGGCUGUAGUGUGCUAUGCCAAUUGGGUGUCCACACUAAGUUCAGCAUCAAUAUAGUGACCUCCUGGGAGCGGGGGACCACCAGGUUGCCUAAGGAGGGGUGAACCGGCCCAGGUCGGAAAUGGAGCAGGUCAAAAUUCCCAUGCUGAUCAGUAGUGGGACUGCGCCUGUAAACAGCCACUGCACUCCAGCCUGGGCAACAUAGCAAGACCCCGUGUUAA